UCUUAUGGAUGAGCAGAGAAAGCAGCUUCUUGAGAUGGAAUCCACUCCUGGUGAAGAUGCUGUAAA
rnacentral:pre_miRNA from 1 species